GCCGAAGUGGUGAAAUUGGUAGACGCGCUGGAUUCAGGGUUCAGUGAGCUUUAAGCUCGUGGGGGUUCGAGUCCCCCCUUCGGCA
rnacentral:tRNA from 1 species